rnacentral:snRNA from 1 species
GGAUAUGGGGGCAAUUUAGCUGCAACGUGUAACACCCCAUCAAUCACCAGGGUUGAUUCAUCUGAUAUGAUUCCUAAGAGGCUGUCCCCAUCCCCCUCUCAUUUCCUUGACUUCUUUUUCAAAGAGAAGAGAAAGAGAAUACUCUACUCAGAAAAGAUCCCUGCUUCAGUCAAGAUCCUAUGAAUGACUAUGUUUCUUUGCCUAAGAUCUCCGAGCUUCCAAAGAAUCUCUCUUCCUUUUGAAAUCUCAAUAUAAGAAUAUGAGUCAGGUGAUCAUCAACCACUGACCAUCAUCAACUGAUGGUCAGCUGGC